UAUUCUCAUAUAGUUACAGCAAAAGCAGAUUGAUAUACGUGCAUAUCAAGAUUUUCAAAAGCAAAUACUAGAUAUAAAAGAAAAUGCCAGGGGUGAAUUAGCGGAGAAGAUAGAGGAAGCCGAGAAGCAGAAUAAGAGGAGAGUCCAGCAGUUAGAGAAACAAUUAGAAAUGACUGAGAAAGACCUUCAGCUGAUGCGUGACCUCAGAUCAACAAAGGCAAAAAAUGAAAAGACUAAAGUGCCUUUCGAACUUGAACUACAUAUACAAGUUAAUGGACCAACUGUGAGAUAAGCACAGAAGGGAAUCAACGU